UACGUAGGGGGCAAGCGUUGUCCGGAUUUAUUGGGCGUAAAGAGCGUGUAGGCGGUUAGGUAGGUCCGUUGUGAAAACUCGAGGCUCAACCUCGAGACGCCGAUGGAAACCAUCUGACUAGAGUCCGGAAGAGGAGAGUGGAAUUCCUGGUGUAGCGGUGAAAUGCGCAGAUAUCAGGAAGAACACCGGUGGCGAAGGCGGAUCUCUGGGCCUUACCUGACGCUGAGGCGCGAAAGCUAGGGGAGCGAACAGG
rnacentral:rRNA from 1 species